rnacentral:rRNA from 1 species
UGGGGAAUCUUGCGCAAUGGGCGAAAGCCUGACGCAGCAACGCCGCGUGAGCGAAGAAGGCCUUCGGGUUGUAAAGCUCUGUCAGGGGGAAAGAAGGCGCCUGGGUUAAUAGCCCAAGGGCUGACGGUACCCCCAGAGGAAGCCACGGCUAACUACGUGCCAGCAGCCGCGGUAAUACGUAGGUGGCGAGCGUUGUCCGGAAUCAUUGGGCGUAAAGAGCGCGUAGGUGGCUUGUCAGGUCCGAUGUGAGAACCUGGGGCUCAACUCCAGGCCUGCAUCGGAAACCGGCUUGCUAGAGUCUGGGAGAGGAGAGUGGAAUUCCUGGUGUAGCGGUGAAAUGCGUAGAUAUCAGGAGGAACACCGGUAGCGAAGGCGGCUCUCUGGAACAGUACUGACGCUGAGGCGCGAAAGCUAGGGGAGCGAACAG